ensembl:snRNA U6 U6 spliceosomal RNA
GUGCUCGCUUCGCAGCACAUAUACUAAAAUUGGAAUGAUACAGAGAAGAUUAGCAUGGCCCCUGCGCAAGGAUGACAUAAAAAUAUUAUUUAAUAUAAAAACUUCU